rnacentral:rRNA from 1 species
UCGGGAAUAUUGCGCAAUGGAGGAAACUCUGACGCAGUGACGCCGCGUGCAGGAAGAAGGUUUUCGGAUUGUAAACUGCUUUAGACAGGGAAGAAAAAGGACAGUACCUGUAGAAUAAGCUCCGGCUAACUACGUGCCAGCAGCCGCGGUAAUACGUAGGGAGCAAGCGUUAUCCGGAUUUAUUGGGUGUAAAGGGUGCGUAGACGGGAAGGCAAGUUAGUUGUGAAAUCCCUCGGCUUAACUGAGGAACUGCAACUAAAACUAUCUUUCUUGAGUGCUGGAGAGGAAAGUGGAAUUCCUAGUGUAGCGGUGAAAUGCGUAGAUAUUAGGAGGAACACCAGUGGCGAAGGCGACUUUCUGGACAGUAACUGACGUUGAGGCACGAAAGUGUGGGGAGCAAACA